GGUUGGGUCGUCUUCCACACUCCACUACUUCCCGUCUUCUCCACACCGUCCCUUCUUCCUCACUUCCUCACUCCCUCCCCUGCUUCUAAAAACCCUCUCCCCUCUCCCUCCUCUUCCUCGUCGCCGUCGGUCGCCGGCCGUCGGCCGGCAUAUCCCGCUGCCAUUCGCCGGAGGCCCUCGUCGUCCCGCAUCAUCGGCCGCCGACGAUUAGACAGUACCAAGCGUGUCAUGCCUAUCAUGAUGAUCAUCUCUGGUUGACAAGUUACUUUCCUUGGUCUACUGCUUGAUCUUUGUUCUUUGGAAGUACUAUAUCUCACUCCAUACUACCAUGAAUCUCCAUAAUAAUUGUCAGCAACAGCUAUCGUGCUCAAAUUCUGCAAGGCCGCCAACAUUUUGGACCAUCUGUCCAACCUGUGUCACCAAAUAUCAGUACCACCAUGCAAUUUUGAAGAAAGCUGUCUGCUGCCAUAAUUGCUCGAAAGCCUUCAUAGCACAUGCUUUAACUGAGCAACAUGUUCCUUCUGGUCCAUAUCAACAGUUUGCUGAGCUGUGGAUAAGUGCAGGAGUAUUUUCAGAAAUUAGAUUGCUUCAGAAGUUCGAACCUGGGCAGAUAUGGGCUCUCUACAGUGACAGACAAGUUUCCGAAUUACUAUGUCUUCAUAGAGAAAGUUGAUCUCGAGAAUAAUGAAGUACAGGCAAGAUGGCUUGAAGCUUUUCCUGAUGAAGGGGUGGACCAAAGAUUGGUAGUAGAUCGAACUGCUGAGUGUGUUGCGUCCAAUGGCUGAACAAUUUUGUAAUUCUGAGAUGUGAUUUCUGGUGUGCUUCAUAGACGAAGUAUUUCACUGUAGGGGUUAUUGCAUUGAGUCGACAAUUCUGCGAUAUUUGUAGAUCAUGCAUUCCGCAUCACUGGAAAAUGCAGUGGUUUUGACAAUUAAUGUAACAAGUGAAAUAAGAUUGCUUUGCAAGUUCAAACCUGGCCAGAUCUGGGCUCUCUACAAUGAUAUAUAUUACUUCCCCAAUUACUAUGCCGUUAUAAAGAAAGUCGAUGUCAAGAAUAAUAAGGUAACAUUGAGAUGGCUCCAUGUCUGUCCUCAGGGAAUGGAGGAGAAAAGAUUGGUCAAAGAAGAUCAUCCUGUUGGGUGUGGAACCUUUGGGGUUUCCACUGGCAAUGAUGGUAUUAGUACUUGCAGCCGUACAACAUACUUUUCUCAUC